rnacentral:rRNA from 1 species
GAUGAACGCUGGCGGAAUGCUUUACACAUGCAAGUCGAGCGGCAGCGCGGGGCAACCUGGCGGCGAGCGGCGAACGGGUGAGUAAUGCAUCGGAACGUACCCCGUCGUGGGGGAUAACUACCCGAAAGGGUAGCUAAUACCGCAUACGACCUGAGGGUGAAAGCGGGGGACCGAAAGGCCUCGCGCGAUGGGAGCGGCCGAUGCCGGAUUAGCUAGUUGGUAGGGUAAAGGCCUACCAAGGCGACGAUCCGUAGCUGGUCUGAGAGGACGACCAGCCACACUGGAACUGAGACACGGUCCAGACUCCUACGGGAGGCAGCAGUGGGGAAUUUUGGACAAUGGGCGAAAGCCUGAUCCAGCCAUUCCGCGUGAGUGAAGAAGGCCUCGGUUGUAAG